rnacentral:lncRNA from 1 species
UCUUGCUUUUGAACAAUUUUCGUCACAACAACAGCUUUCUUUUCAAAACUAUCUUUAAAGGGAGAGAUGUCAAAAAUUUGCUUCAAACACGUGCGUCGCAAAGAUGUAAAUAAAUUCUGUAUGUGACAUUUAUAGCGGAAGCCAUUUGACCAUAUCAUUUUGUGAAACAAUUCAAUCAACACCUUUAUUAAUUAGUCCUUUGUUGUCGAUAGCUAUAAAAUGCAAUCAGCUGAUUAUUGAUUUUCUGUCUAAAUCUUAAUGAGGUCAAGGUGAAUUCCGAGUAUUGUCUGAUCGGGUAAAGUCCUAGAAACUCGAAAAAAAGUAAAUAAACAAGAUGGAGGAAAAUAAAUCAGUUUAUAUAUUUCUUUCGCCAAAUUCUUUCGCAAAUGACGAAUUUUUAUCGCCACAAUUAUUAUUUUUUCGCAAAUUGCGAAAAUGGCGACCGCCAGCGGAAACCCUGCAU